GCUGGGUGUGGUGGUGCACGCCUGUAGUCCCAGUGACUUGGGAGGCUGAGGCGGGAGAAUCACUUGAACCUGGGAGGCAGAGGUUGCAGCGAGCCAAGAUGGCACCACUGCAUUCCAGCCUGGGUGACAGAGUGAGAACCUGUCUCUU
rnacentral:sRNA from 1 species